UAUUAAAAGUUUUAUCUAUUUUUACUCUUAAAAAUCGGCAUGACUAACACAAUAAUCAAAUAGUAAAAUGUGGUGUGUCACGUGUACCUCAUUUUGAUGUACAUGGAGAAGGUUUUAACAAUAAAAAUAGAUAGAAUUUUUAACA
rfam:Gossypium arboreum cultivar AKA8401 contig_508_3, whole genome shotgun sequence.